UCCUCUCAUUUUAUCUAACUCCACUAACAACAGAACCAACAUCAUGUAAAACUCCUUUCAAAAAACAUCAUGUAAAACUAAAAGAAAAAUGAAAUGAGUAACUGAAAACCCAAAAAAUAAACCCUCACAUUUUCCAUCUUCACUCACUCACUCUCUUUCAUUCAUUCAUUCCCUUCCAAAUUCCAAUCUUCCAUCAUUGAAUCAUAUCAAAAUUUUAGCAUAAACUGUUGCAUGCUCAUUCAAAACCAAAAACAUCAUCAAAAUCCAAUGUUGUCAUCACCUAUUCUUGUCUCCUUCACUCUCAUCCUCUCUCUCCCUAUCCUUCUCUUCCUCUCCCCACAAACCCUCCCCUCACCCUUCACCUCCGACGCCGACGACCUCUACCUCUUCCACCGCGCCUCCGCCGCACGCGCCACCACCACCAACCCCAAACCCAAAAUCGCCUUCCUCUUCCUCACCAACUCCAACCUCACCUUCGCCCCACUCUGGGAGAAAUUCUUCACCGGCCACCACCACCUUUACAACAUCUACAUCCACGCCGACCCCUCCUCCGCCGUCGUCUCUCCCGGCGGCGUCUUCCACCGCCGCUUCAUUACUUCCAAAAAAACCUACCGCUCCUCCCCAACACUCAUCUCCGCCACCCGCCGCCUCCUCGCCUCCGCCGUCCUCGACGACCCGCUUAACGAGUACUUCGCUCUUAUCUCCCAGCACUGCAUUCCGCUCUUCUCGUUUCGAUUCGUUUACAACUCUCUCUUCAAGAACCGGCUAGCCUCGCUCGCCGGUUCUAGUUUCCGGUACCGGAGCUACAUCGAGAUUAUCUCCGAUGAGUUGAACCUCUACGACCGUUACACAGCGCGCGGCGAGAACGUGAUGCUGCCGGAGGUGACGUUCGACGCUUUCCGGGUCGGGUCACAGUUCUUUGUUCUGACCCGGCGGCAUGCGGUGGUUGUUCUCCGGGAUCGGAGGCUCUGGAGGAAGUUCCGGCUUCCUUGCCUGACGGAGGAGCCGUGUUACCCGGAAGAGCACUAUUUUCCGACGCUGCUUUCCAUGGAGGACCCGAACGGCUGCACCGGGUUCACGCUCACGAGAGUGAACUGGACCGGUUGCUGGGAUGGCCACCCGCACCUUUAUACCCCGCCGGAGGUCUCGCCGGAGCUCGUUCGCCGCCUUAGGGAGUCGAAUUCCAGCUAUUCCUACCUCUUCGCGAGGAAAUUCUCGCCGGAGUGUCUCACGCCGCUGAUGGACAUCGCCGAUGACGUCAUUUUCCGGGACUGAGUUGAGCUAAGUUGGUGGAUGGUUGGGAGGAAGAGGAAAGGGAAAAAGUAAAGGGAAGAAGGUAAAGUAAAGGGAAGAGGUCGUCGGAGGGUGCAAGGGUGCGGGUUGAGGAUAAGAGACCACUGCCGUCGUUCGCGCCGCCAUUGUGACCUCGCCACCACCACCUCCGACAAAUGAAGUGAUGAUGUGGGUCGAGAGAGAAGGAGUUCUUGCUGGAUGUGGGUUAUUUACAUGAUUUUGCUGGGGUUAUGUAUUAGAUUUGUUGAAUUGUUGGGGUGGUGGGGGUUGUUGUGGAUGUGGGUUGUAGUUGCUCGGUGGUGGGGGACUGGGGGUUGUCUUUUUCUGGGUUUGGGAAGAAUGUAGAAGAUGGUUGUAGGAAUGAGUGAGAGGGUAGGAGGGAGAAAAUGAUUUGGGGGAAAAGUAAAAUAAAAAGAAAGAGAAAAACCAAAUUUGCCCUUUGGUCCACCGGUGGACCAAAAAACAAAGUUACCCACCCUAGUGGGAACCAGUAAUGGAUCAAAGCAACCUUCAUUUAAUUUUCAAGGGUACAUAAAGUGAUCUAACGGGUAUCUAUCUAUGUUGAUUUUGGGAAGAGAAAAACUCUUGUCAAUGUACAAUGCCAAAGUCGUGUUCAUGUGUACAGAAAAUGUGAUCUCUUUCAAUUGUAGAGUUUAGUUGUGAUUUCUCUUAUGUGAAUCGAGUGGCUUAAUAUGGAAAAAGUCAAGGCUGGUCCCCGAAGGAGGCUUCAACUGUUGAUUCCUAAGAAUUGUACAUUGAAAAUCUCAUGCAAAAAUUGGGUUUAUAAAUUAUCAUUUGAAUUAACUUGAGUGUGUUUGGUAAAACGUUUGAACUAACUUAAAAUGUAUUUAACUAGAGGUGUUUGGUAAUUGAGUUUUUUUCUUUUUCUCAUUAGAUUGUACCCUUGUAGUGAUUUUAAGAUGCUACUUUAUAUAGUAGUUGAGUUUAUAUCUUGUUAA